rnacentral:tRNA from 1 species
GCCCAGGUGGCUCAGUGGUAAAGAAUUUGCCUGCCAAGCAGGUGAUGCGGGUUUGAUCCCCGGUUUGGGGA